ACAAGAUGCAGGACCCCAACGCAGACACUGGGUGUAAUGCCAUCUUAUGCAAAAAGGGCACCUUGCCCCCCAGGGAAAGUCUGAAAGAAUUGGAAGAGGAGACAGAAGAGGAGCAGCACAUGGUCCAGCAGUCAGUGGUGACAAUGUGUGAAGACAUGACUGGAAGAGCUGAAGGGUCAGGAAGACGAGUUUAAUGAGGAGGAUGAACGUGCUGUUGAAAUGCGCAGACGGCCGAGACUGGCUGAGCGGAAAGCAGCUAAACUGAAGAAUAAAUGUGGAGAAGGUUUGGAGAUCUCAGGGAAGGCUUAUGUCAGGAAGUAACCAGAGCCGGUGAGGGCUUGUGGGUCAUCUUGCACCUUUGCAAACAAGGAAUUCCCCUGUGUGCCCUGAUAAAUGAGCACGUCAGUGGACUUGGCAGCAAGUUUCCUGAUGUGAAGUUUCUCAAAGCCAUCUCAACAACCUGCACACCCAACUACCCUGAUAGGACUCCGCCACGAUAUCUGUUUACCUGGAAGGUGAGAUCAAGGCUCAGUUUGUCGGUCCUCUGGUGUUUGGUGGCAUGAACCUGACAAGAGACGAGCGGCAGUGGAAACUGCCUGAAUCGCACGUGGAGGAGAACCCUAAGAAGCAGACUGAAGACGUGUUGCUGCCCUCAGUGCGGCGCUCUGUCCCCACGUGGAGGGACAGCGAUUCCGACGGGGACUGAGGCGGCAGCUGCUAUCACAUGCCGAACUUUCUGUGACAAAUUGCCUGAAUUUUUUAAAAAAGGGAGAAGCGGGAAUGAAUCCUUCUGAUUUUUAGUUUUGUAUACAUUAUGUUUUAAAUCUUUACAUUUUGGAAAUAAUCAUUGCUGGAAAUUCUGUUAAAUAUUUUGCAACUUUCUAAAUUAUAGUACCUCCUCUAAAAAAAAUUAAAACCAGCUCUUGGUAUGG